GUUCAGGAGGACACAUCAUACUCCUCCUAGAAUACGGUCUCUGGAGGCAGGAAAUGAGUAGACAAGAAAGCCAUGUGACAUAGGGCAGGCAGCUCUAAACCCAAAAGACAAAAAGUUAGGCAAUCUUCCAGAUCACCAAAACAGACAAAGAUGUUUGUUUACAAGAACUUCCUGAUAAAGCAGGCGAUGUGGCUUGGGUUCUUGUUUGGUUGUCUUUCCCCUUUCUGUAUGAAUCAAUACCGUAUUCACCUCAGUUCUUCUCCAUUUGUACAUUCUUAUUUAAACGCGGCUCAGACACAAUUGUUUGAAGCAGACCAUUCCAGGGGUUAGAAGAGAGGAACCCCAGGGACAAAGGAGGAACCUUCAGAAUUAGAUCAAGGGUGUCACAAGCAGUCCAAAAGUCUGGGUGGCACUUUAGGGGUAAAUGAAAACUGGCCCACAGAAAGCACUGAAUUUUACAAAUAAAAAUGCUAGCUCAUCCCCAUGUGGGGCAUGUGACAAAUGUGACAUUUGCAAUAUUAUGAAUCUAUGAAGGUCAAGUUUUGCUUUUCAUUUCUGAGGCUACUGACUACAAAGAGGGUUUUUUUUUUUCCUAUAAAAAUUCUUUGUGCAAAACCUUGAAGGCAACAGUACUGGAAAUGAUUUUUAAAACAGAACUCAAAUAAUAUGGUCUCCCAGGAAGUAGUUUUGAAUAAUAUACAAAGAAAAAACUGAAUUACGUUCGGAGCCUCCUCCAUAGAUGCUGUCCCUGAGGAGCUGAGCCCAGACCGCCUCUAGAGAGUGGGGGUUUCAUCCAAGAUAAACUCAGCCACCGUGGACCAAGUCCUGCAUCAGCCACCUGCCAGCUACAGCUCACGAUGGAUCUGAACAAACUCCUCAAAUUGGACAGAAAAAGUUUUGAACCUCAGUCAUUUUCGUCUCCCCGAGUUGAUGAAAACCCCAUGGCACAUCACUUCCGGAGCUGUUCUAUCCAAAGGAAGACAGGAUUCGUCUACCUAUGCUACAGGAACUCACCAUGGAAACAACAGAACCGAAGAAAAUUAAGCGGAACAAAGCAACAUUGCUGCGACUCCUCAACACAGGCAGCAACCGUUGAAGGAAAAAAAAUUUUUAAAUGGGCUUCAAAGAAUGUAAGGGCUGGAGAAUGCGGAGGAACGCUGAGAAACACUGUCUAUUGAUGAACUCUCAACCACCGUGCUGACCUGCACAAGAUGAAGCCAAGCCAAACCCCAGUGCGUAAAGGGAAGCCAUUGCCAACUGGUGAUUGUUGGAAGAAGGAGAACUGAUUUUCUUUAGGGAGGCAGACCCUGGGAAGCUACCUGAGCCAUUUGUGGAGGAAUCACCCUGUGCACGUAUUCGCAGCACUAAGUUGACUCAGUGAGUAUAAAAAGAAAAGCGCGUGGGGCGGAGAGGGGAAAGUGGUGCCUUGGGAGUCGGGCGGAGAGGAAGUAGAGCAGAAGGAACUCAGGGUAGAUUCGAUUCAAACUCACUUUAGGACACUUUAUGCUUUUCAGAAAGGUCAUUGAGGAAGACAAGAGAGCUGUUUAAAAUAUUGAUUGGAAAACAACUAUGAGUAUGGAAAGUUGCACUUCUAAAUCUAAACACACUUUCAAACUUUCCAAUGCCUUGAAAAGAGCUAGAUUGGCGAUCCUAAAAUGAAAAAUUAUCUUAAUGAGUUACAAAUUUAGAAAGAGAUUCUCCAGUUGUGUCUAAUUUAACUUGAUAGUUAAGUGUUCCAAAAAUAUAUCUUUAAAUUCCUGCUGCAAAAAUGUACAUAGUGAUGCUUAAAUUAAAAUGACUUUUAGAGUUAGGCACAUGCUACGUGUCUUCUUGGUCACCUUUCUCUUUCCUUUCUGUGUAU